rnacentral:tRNA from 1 species
ACCUGGCUGGCUCAGUCGGUAGAGCACGUGACUCUUGAUCUUGGGGUUGUGAGUGUGAGCCCCAUGUUGGGUG